rnacentral:rRNA from 1 species
AUGGCGAGACCUCCUCUCGCCCCGGCGGUCGGCGGCGACCGGAUCCGCAGCUACGGCGGCGGCCGCGUGACGCUCUCCGUGGUGGUCACCUGCCUCAUGGCCGCCUCCUGCGGCCUCAUCUUCGGCUACGACAUUGGCGUCUCAGGUGGCAUCACGCAAAUGGAGUCGUUCCUCGAGAAAUUCUUCCCGGAGGUUCUCAAGGGGAUGAAGGGCGCCAAGCGCGACGCCUACUGCAAAUACGACAACCAGAUGCUAACGGCGUUCACCUCCUCGCUGUACAUCGCCGGCGUGCUGUCGUCGCUGGUGGCGAGCCGGGUGACCAGGAGGGUGGGCCGCCAGGCCGUCAUGCUCACCGGCGGCGCCCUGUUCCUUGCCGGCUCCGCCGUCAACGCCGCCGCCGUGAACAUCGCCAUGCUCAUCGUCGGCCGGAUGCUGCUCGGCUUCGGCGUUGGGUUCACAGCGCAGGCGGCUCCGCUGUACCUCGCCGAGACAUCGCCAGCCAAGUGGCGCGGCGCCUUCACCACCGCCUACCACGUCUUCCUUGUCAUCGGCACGCUGGCGGCGACCGUCGCCAACUACUUCACCAACCGCAUUCCGGGAUGGGGCUGGCGGGUCUCCCUCGGCCUGGCCGGCGUGCCGGCCAUCGUCGUUGUGCUGGGCGCCCUCUUCGUCCCCGACACUCCCAGCAGCCUCGUGCUGCGCGGAGAUCCCGACAGGGCGCGCGCGGCGCUCCAGCGCAUCCGCGGGGCGGACGCCGACGUGGGCGACGAGUUCAAGGACAUCGUCCUCGCCGUGGAGGAGGCUCGCCGGAACGACGAGGGCGCGUUCGAGCGGCUGCGCGGCAAGGGGUACCGGCACUACCUGGUGAUGAUGGUGGCCAUCCCCACUUUCUUCGACCUCACCGGCAUGAUCGUCAUCACCGUCUUCUCGCCAGUGCUGUUCCGGACCGUGGGGUUCGACAGCCAGAAGGCGAUCCUGGGCUCCGUCAUACUUAGCCUGGUCAACUUGUUCGCCGUCGUCGUGUCCACCUUCGUCGUCGACCGUGCUGGCCGCAGGUUCUUGUUCCUCGCCGGCGGCGUAGCCAUGAUGCUCUGCCAGGUGGCGGUGGCGUGGAUACUGGCGGAUCAUCUCGGAGGGCACCACGCGACGACGAUGGCGCGGAACUACGCCAAGGGGGUGCUGGUGCUCAUGUGCCUGUACACGUGCAGCUUCGGCAUGUCGUGGGGGCCGCUCAAGUGGGUCGUGCCGAGCGAGAUCUACCCUGUGGAGAUCAGGUCGGCGGGGCAGGCCAUGACCGUGUCCAUCGCGCUCAGCCUCUCCUUCGCGCAGACGCAGGUGUUCAUCACCCUGCUCUGCGCCAUGAAGUACGCGAUAUUCAUCUUCUACGCCGGCUGGGUCCUGGUGAUGACGGUUUUCAUGGCGGCGCUCCUGCCGGAGACCAAAGGCGUGCCGCUGGAGGCCAUGAGGACGGUGUGGGCGAAGCAUUGGUAUUGGAGGAGGUUCGUUGGAGAUGCCAAGCAGGACAGCCAGGUCAACUGCCUGUGA